UGGCUAACGAACCCUCUGAGACCAAAAGGG
rnacentral:piRNA from 1 species